rnacentral:rRNA from 1 species
UACGUAGGGGGCAAGCGUUGUCCGGAUUUAUUGGGCGUAAAGAGCUCGUAGGCGGCUGUUCACGUCGGAUGUGAAAGCUCAAGGCUCAACCUUGAGAUGCCAUUCGAUACGGAUCAGCUAGAGGUAGCUAGGGGAGAGUGGAAUUCCUGGUGUAGCGGUGAAAUGCGCAGAUAUCAGGAGGAACACCGGUGGCGAAGGCGGCUCUCUGGGGCUUACCUGACGCUGAGGAGCGAAAGCUGGGGGAGCAAACAGGAUUAGAAACCCCCGUAGUCC